UCGUCAAUGGCAAAGCGAUUUCUCUCGCUAAAGCCUAGUGCCGUUAGCCGACAAAUAUGCACUUGACAUUUUAGGUAGAAAAAUGUCAGUUCAAACAGCUCGCAUUUCGCGAUGCUCGUUAUCGCGAGCGCGCGUACGUGUUAAUCUCUUAAAAUACCUUGCGAGCGUAUCGCAGGAAUCCCCAGUGUCGUCUUUGUUCAGGAACCACGGAAAUUAGUCUACGAUGCGUAGAUACCUCAGGUAAACUACUCCCAGGCAAUUUUCCACUCAGCCACUCAAGCCAUUGCUUCUUGUCAAGCAGGAUGGAAUGGUCAAAGCUGCACACUGCACGUGUAUGGCCGUUCUCGGCGAAGCCUGCUCGCACAUUGGUGCACGGCUCUUCUAUUUAGAAGCAGCUUCAAACUAUCGUGAUGGUAAGGCUUGCGCUGAUUAGGAAAAUGCAUGGCUGCCUUCGUACUCUAGUACUGUGCCUUGUGCGUCACUUGCACACGUUGAAUUUGCGUCAGCUACCACCAACAGAAGGCGGCUGGAUGGACGUUGAUCAUCAUCCUCAAAGAAACCAGCCACCACCAUUGAGAGGCCUUCACAGAGCGAAUGGAAGGCCUUUCUCGAUAGAAUUAGAAGGCUGGCAAGUAUUCUGCAGUGUUGGCAUUAAAAAAGGACUAUUACGAGUAAUUCAUACCUGUACAAGUGAAGCACUCCACUGCUCUUCUGGAACACUUGGCAGCAGAGAAGCCGUUGUCAACGGAUGCGAUGCUGGAGGAGUGCGAAAUGUUUGCCCAGGCAUAUGUUGUAGAGCCAAAGGUACUUAUAUUUCCAUUGAAGGAUAACUUUAUUGAGAUAAAGUAACUAGAUGCUGCAUGACCGAGAAGGCACUGUUAGAUGCUCGAAACUACCAGUGCUACCUUGCCCAACCUGCAUGGUUGCUGCUAGCUAAGUGCAGUUUUGUGAUUAUGUACAUUGAAUUUCCGUGUGAAAAGUCAUUCUAUUGAAAAUACAGGUCUGUAAAGAUGUGGAAGCGGCAAAAAGAGGUCAGUCGGCCUCAGCAACGUGGUUUUCCCUCAGAGCAGGCCUGGUCACAGCAUCGACAGCCCACGCAGCUUGCCGAACGUCCUUGACUCAGCCAUCUGCGAGCCUGGUGAAGAUUUGCUGCCCUGAUGAGCGCAAGUUUUCUUCUGCUGCAACUAAUUGGGGUCUGCGCAAGGAGGACACCGCCAGGAAGCAAUAUGUUGCUGAAGCAACCAGCCAGCGCACAGUUUGUUUGCAAGAAGUCUCGACUGCAUAUUAGUUCACAUGAGCCCCACUUGGCAGGAA